GGUCCGUUCGUCUACCGGUUAGGACACUUGGUUUUCAUCCAAGAAAUGGGAGUUCGAUUCUCCCACGGACUACAA
rnacentral:tRNA from 1 species